rnacentral:rRNA from 1 species
UACGGGGGGGGUAAGCGUUGUUCGGAAUCACUGGGCGUAAAGCGCACGUAGGCGGCUUUCUAAGUCAGGGGUGAAAUCCUGGAGCUCAACUCCAGAACUGCCUUUGAUACUGGAGAGCUUGAGUCCGGAAGAGGUGAGUGGAACUCCGAGUGUAGAGGUGAAAUUCGUAGAUAUUCGGAAGAACACCAGUGGCGAAGGCGGCUCACUGGUCCGGUACUGACGCUGAGGUGCGAAAGCGUGGGGAGCAAACAGG